AACGAACGCUGGCGGCAGGCCUAACACAUGCAAGUCGAGCGCCCCGCCAGGGGAGCGGCGGACGGGUGAGUAACGCGUGGGAAUAUGCCCUUUGCUACGGAAUAGUCUCGGGAAACUGGGGGUAAUACCGUAUACGCCCUUUGGGGGAAAGAUUUAUCGGCGAAGGAUUAGCCCGCGUUGGAUUAGGUAGUUGGUGGGGUAAUGGCCUACCAAGCCGACGAUCCAUAGCUGGUUUGAGAGGAUGAUCAGCCACACUGGGACUGAGACACGGCCCAGACUCCUACGGGAGGCAGCAGUGGGGAAUCUUAGACAAUGGGGGCAACCCUGAUCUAGCCAUGCCGCGUGAGUGAUGAAGGCCUUAGGGUUGUAAAGCUCUUUCAGCUGGGAAGAUAAUGACGGUACCAGCAGAGGAGGCCCCGGCUAACUCCGUG
rnacentral:rRNA from 1 species